AGGGGUGGAGUUGGCGCUAUUUCGUGAUAACUACCUUCACUUCUUGGGGAGUGCUGUUUGAAUGGGAUCUUCCUGUGCCACUGCAGCCCAGCUUUGGAAGCAGCCCUCUGUCCAGGCGCUGGUGAUAGAGACGGAGGAUGAGGACGAGGAGGGAGAGCUCCCUGGCAGAGGGAACACUACACUGGCCUGCUUCGUGUCUGGCUUCUACCCGGGAGAUGUCUACCUGAGCUGGAGGAGCCAGGGCCGGGAGCUCUCUGAGGGAGUGACUACUUUCCCAGUAACACCAGACCCUCAUGGGACCUUCCACACAGUCAGCCAGCUCUCUGUGCCAUCACGAGACUGGCACAGUGGGUAUAACUUCACCUGCCUGGUGGGGCACCAGACCCUGGAAUGGCUGAAGGAGACUCAGCUCCGGAAGGAUUCAGGCUGGAUUGAGAUCCUCCGGAAGUCUCCAUGGCUCUGGGGCUCUAUCAUCGUCAGCCUGAUCAUUCUCUGCAUUGCUUUAGCCACUCUCACCGGUCUGCACUGUGGCAGGAGGGGCUGCAGGAAGAGGAAAG